rnacentral:rRNA from 1 species
AUUGAACGCUGGCGGCAGGCUUAACACAUGCAAGUCGAGCGAGCGGCGGACGGGUGCGUAAUGUCUGGGCAACUGCCUGAUGGCGGGGGAUAACUACUGGAAACGGUAGCUAAUACCGCAUACCAUCAGAUGUGCCCAGAUGGGAUUAGCUAGUAGGUGGGGUAACGGCUCCCCUAGGCGACGAUCCCCAGCUGGUCGGAGAGGAUGACCUGCCACACUGGAACUGAGACACGGUCCAGACUCCUACGGGAGGCAGCAGUGGGGAAUAUUGCACAAUGGGCGCAAGUCUGAUGCAGCCAUGCCGCGUGUGUGAAGAAGGCCUUCGGGUUGUAAAGCACUUUCAGCGAGGAGGCGGUACUCGCAGAAGAAGCAACGGCUAACUCCGUGCCAGCAGCCGCGGUAAUUC